AGCACAGAGCUUGGUUCUGUAGCAAAGACAAAUGAGGACAUCUGGAUGUGGAAUUUGAAUUUUAAAGCAAGAUUCUAGUU